rnacentral:lncRNA from 1 species
GGCAGACGGGAUCUGGGGAUGGGGGAGGGACAGGUCGUUGCGGUCUGGGGAGUGGGAGACCGACGAGAUCUGGGGAUGGGAGAGGGCCGAUGGGUCUGGGAAUGGGGGAAGGGGUGGCCGGCGCUGGCGUAUGGUGGCGGCGGGCGGCGCCGGCGGGUGGGGGGAAAGGGGGAAGAGGUGAAUAAGGUUGGGGAAGAUGAUGACUUGGAAAUUUUCUUCUUUUUUUUAAUUUUUUUUGCCACAUGUAAAAAUUAUGUUUAGGUGUCAAUUCCGGUUGCCAUCUCAUCUAUUCCGGCAGCCACAGUGGCAUUUCCGGCGCCGGCGUUAGAAAAAACCGGUGAUCGGACAAAUUCGAGACAAAAACGAAAGGUUAGGUAUUUAAAAGUAGAAAAAUAAAAAAAGGUGCAAAAAUCAAUUCCAUGUAAACGUUAGGAAUUUACAGGCAAUUACCCC